rnacentral:misc_RNA from 1 species
GAUGAAGAACGUAGUGAAAUGCGAUAAGUAAUGUGAAUUGCAGAAUUCAGUGAAUCAUCGAAUCUUUGAACGCACCUUGCGCUCCUUGGUAUUCCGAGGAGCAUGCCUGUUUGAGUGUCAUUAAAUUCUCAACCUUAUUAGCUUUUGCUGAUAAUGGCUUGGACUUGGGGGUCUUUUUGCUGGCUUUCAUUAGUCUGCUCCCCUUAAAUGUAUUAGCCGGUGCCCCGCAGUGGAACCGUCUAUUGGUGUGAUAAUUAUCUACGCCGUGGACGUCUGCUAUAAUGGGUUUGCGCUGCUUCUAACCGUCUCUCGGGACAACACAAAUGACAAUUUGACCUCAAAUCAGGUAGGACUACCCGCUGAACUUAAGCAUAUCAAUAAGCGGAGGA